rnacentral:rRNA from 1 species
UACGUAGGGGGCUAGCGUUGUCCGGAUUUAUUGGGCGUAAAGAGCGUGUAGGCGGCCAGGUAGGUCUGCUGUGAAAACUCGAGGCUCAACCUCGAGACGUCGGCGGAAACCAUCUGGCUAGAGUCCGGAAGAGGAGAGUGGAAUUCCUGGUGUAGCGGUGAAAUGCGCAGAUAUCAGGAAGAACACCGAUUGCGAAGGCAGCUCGCUGGGACGUUACUGACGCUGAGACGCGAAAGCGUGGGGAGCAAACAGG